CAUCACUUAAAGGAGGGAGGAGAAGACUUAUGUCAUUGAAUGUUUGCUACAUAAUUGAGUUUGGUUUUUAAUUACAAAGAAGGGUCAUGUGUCAGGGAAGUAACUGUCACUGCAGUGCCCCUUCUCCACUGAGUUCUGCCAUUUUUGGCAAACACUACAUCCAGUACAAAAGCUCUGACUGAGUUAUUAAUCAUGUUUGUUGGGCAAGCCACAAUAAUCUGCUGCCUGGAUACAAAGCCAAGUACAGAGUCACCGGCAGGAUGUGAUAAAACACUUGAUACCUCUCACUUUCAGACUCUGCUUAUGAAAUGGACAACAUGGAAGCUGGCAAUGCUGUUUGGAUAUAGGGCACAGGGGCCUUGGGCUGCUAGAGAAAGAAGGACCCAGGAUUCCUACAUAUAAGAUGAUAGAGUUUUUUCUUCUGUGUACAAGUGAAAACUGACUAAUCAAGAACACACCUAGCUGUGGAUAUCUGAAACUUCUGCUCCAGGGAAAUAUGGUAGG